AUCAGCAACCCAAAAUAAUAGCUCUAUUAUCUACCUAGUUUCAAUGUUUAAAGUUAGAAAAAUAAAGAAAUGUGAAAUCUGCUAAAUUCACUUGAUCUUUUGAAAUACGUUCAGAAUUGGUGAAGCUAUUCGUUGCCCAUUAAGUGACCUACCAGUACCAGUGAGAGAAUUGGAGGAUCUAGUAAGAUGGUUACGAAUUAGAGAAAUUACAUUUCAGUGUGUAUAGAGAGUGACCAGAUAAACAAAAAAAGCAGAGUGUGAAGGAUAGAUCUAAUCUAAGAGAAGAAAACAUGAGAAUUAGAAAGAUUGAAAUAGAAUAUUGAAGACGAAGAUCUGAAACGCACUCUCACCUGGAUCGAGCUGCUUGUUUG
rnacentral:misc_RNA from 1 species